ACCAGGAUGGCGAGUGGUUAAGGCGUUGGACUUAAGAUCCAAUGGAUGUAAAUCCAUGUGGGUUCGAACCCCUCUGCUGGUA
rnacentral:tRNA from 1 species